AGGUUGCUGCCAGCCCCAGAGGUUUGGGGCCGAGGACGUAUGUGUCCACGCAGAUGCAGCACCUGAGACCUCGAGGAACCUUGAGGGAAGUCAGUCUUCCGCACUUGAGGCCUUCCAGCAUUCCUUCAUCACCCGGAGAGUGUGGACAGCCCUCAGGGGUUGCUGGGUCCCCAAAGCAAAGAGCAAUUUCCAGGGCUGGGUCAAGUUCGAGGCACCCUCUGAGAACCCCGUGGAGGACUCGCCCCUGGGAGGAGCUGGCCCAGGAGGACCAGGGUCCACCACGUGGCCGAAGGAGGACCCAGAUUCCAGUUGUCAUUUUUAGGAAGAGACGAAUCGGCAUCUGAAACAAGGCGUUGCCUUGCUCUUCGGACGUGACCUUGCUCACUCACCUACGUGCUCCCUGAGCUCGUGGAGGCGCGGACCCCGUGCUCACCUCGUGGGCUGAGACCCCAGCAGCCCAGGACGCGAUGAUUCCUCUGCACCCCGCGGCCGUGGAGCGGUGCUCCAGGAACGGACCCCUCUCUGGCUGGCUGUCCUGAUCUUUGCUGCUCCUCACAAAGAAUGGAGUAGUAUUCAUCCAUAAAAAGGAAUGAAGUGCUGACACAGCCUACAACCUGGAUGAACCUCGAAAUCAUUACGCUCAGUGAAAGAAGUCAGUCACAAAAGGCACGUAUUGUCUGAUUCCUCUUAUACGAAAUGUCUGCAGGAGAGAAAUCCACAGGGGCAGAAAACAGGCAAGAGCAAUGUCGUCACAAUGUCAGGUUCCCGCAGAGGCUUCUCCGUGUGCCACUGACUCGUCACCGCCAGGUCAUGAGCCACAGCAGGCCGCGGAGCUCACAGCAGGGGCUGGCGUAUCCAUCCUCCAUCCGUCCUCUAAGCCGGCAGCCAGCCCGGCCACAGGAAUUCUCUAUGGAUCAAAGACCAGUCUCUCACCUGGAGUCUCCGUUGCAGAUUCCACCUCGCCCGCAACCAUGUGAAUCGGUCCACAUGAAUUCCAACCCACGCAGGGGACACGGGUUCGAUCCCUGGGCUGGGAAGAUCCCACAUGCCGCAGAACAACUAAGCACGUGCACCACAACUACUGAGCCUGCGCUCUAGAGCCCGCGAGCCACAAGCUGAAGCCCGUGUGCCUAGAGCCCAUGCUCUGCAAGAGGAGAAGCCACCGCAAGGAGAAGUCCGUGCACCGUGACGAAGAGUAGCCCCUGCUCGCCGCAACUAGAGAAAGCCUGGGCAUAGCAACGAAGACCCAACA